rnacentral:lncRNA from 1 species
ACGUGUACUAUUUUAGAUGCACAGUUCAUCUCUCCACUUCUCUAAUUCUCUCUUUCACUGCUCAGCAAUUCUCUUCUGCUUCCCCUAGUUCAAGGUGUCAUCUUUAUUUGGGGGAGUUUCUCAAUUUUUACGCUUCCAAUUAAUAAGGUUAGAUCUUUUAUAUCCUUACGUAGUUACGUUGGUUGUUUGAUAAGGUUGAAUUCUCUUUCUCUGUUCAGGAUUGUUCUUGAAUUUCGUUUCUUUAUGAUAUUGCGUUACUACUCUCUUCGUUUCAAUUUACCCGAGUUUGACUCACGGAGUUUAAGAAAAAAAAAAGAAAGACUUUUAAAACUUGUCUUAAGAGGUUAGGAGGUAAAAGCUUUGUGGGACCAUGAUAUUUGUGUGGUUAUAAAAGUUUCUCGUUAAGAGUAAAAUUGGUAAAAUGAAGAAUUUAAAGUUGAAUUAUUUUUAAAUUUAGAAAUGUGUCAUUUAUUUUGUAGGAGGUAAAAGCUUUGUGGGACCAUGAUAUUUGUGUGGUUAUAAAAGUUUCUCGUUAAGAGUAAAAUUGGUAAAAUGAAGAAUUUAAAGUUGAAUUAUUUUUAAAUUUAGAAAUGUGUCAUUUAUUUUGUAACAAACUAAAAAGGAAAGUACCUUAUCUAAUUGAUUUGAAACGGAGGUAGUAAUAUUUAAGCUUCAUAGCUGAAAAUUUGUGCCUCUAUCUCUCUUCCUCUAAAUUUUGUUUGUUUUGCUUUAUUUUGGUGUUUUCUUUUCAAAGUUUCUCCAUCCUUAUUCCAGAUUUUCUCUACUCUUUGUUAUUGGUUUUUUUCUCAUUUUCUUCUUUAUUUAUUCCACCUGUUUGUUGGUAAUGGAAAAUUGCUGGUAUCCCGUUGUUUUACUGCUGUUUGGAUAGUUUUCCUUGCUGCAUUUUGUACAUUCAUAUCAUUAGUUGUAUCUGAGUUGAAAAUGCGCAUAUAAAAUUGAGAAAUAGAUGCAUGUUGAGUUUAUCCAUGUUCCGUAAUUUUGAUCGGUUAAGAUUAUAUUUGUAAGGUGAAUAGGUUCCUUGCACAAGAUUAUUGGGAGGGGAAUUGGUACUCAAAAAUAAAACAAGAUUACCAUAUUGUAAUUGAUACUUCCUAUUCCAAUUGUGGGAAUUUAGCUUUGGCAUGCAAUGUGUUUGAUUUAACUCCCGACAGAAAUGAACAAUCAACACCAUCAAAGAAAAUAUAAAAAGCCAACUCCCUUAAUUAAGCAUUUACCGUUCAAAAUGCUUGGUUAGCCAAAGCUUCUGCUAUGAAGUUUAUUACCAUCUGAAUUCUUCGGUUACAACCUUAGUGAACUUGUGGAGCUUCGAAAAGGUUUGGAUAAUCACUAUUCCAGAGGAGCUCAACUCUAUCCAGAUAUGACAAUAAAAUUGAAAUAAUGGUGUAAUUAUUAAUGGGGCAAGUCCUUGGUGGUAAUCAUAUAAGAAAGACCUCAGUUUACGAUUUGCAACAAAAUGCUUAUUAUAUCUUUAUGUUCUUUGUAUUAUAGUGAAUUUAUAACAAUUCAUUUUUAUCUUCAUGCUCUUUGUAUUACAGUUG